CCAGAAAGUUUUACCAUUACUCCCAUUGUAAUGGUAGUUUUUAUUUCCUUUUUGUACAAGAACCUCAGUGCAGGAACGAGUGGUUUUGCUUUAUUUGUUAUACCAUCUUCUAAUAUACUGCAACUACGUUUUCUGCAUUUUGAUCAUAUACUGUAUGCGCAUGGUUAGUUCUGACCUGACUCGCUGAUUGUGCAGUCAUUUGGGCCAGACAGGAAGGAGAUGAGAGCUUCUCUUCCGUAGGUUGGCAGCAUGAUGAGGCAGUCCUCAUUACAUGGUAUGAUAGCCAGGAAAAAUAAUUUUUGAUGAAGGCCUCAGGCAUUAUUGGAAUAUUUUAUCGGGAAAUGAACCUGUAUAGAGAUGCGUUGUCUGGAGGAUCAGCUUCGUUGUUUCGCCCUUUUUUCAUUUCUACAAUUCAGUUUUAACUGCUGCUGGCUGGCUUCUUAUUGAAGCUAAUAUCACCAUCCAAGAAAACCGAAGCUAGAGGAUUAUAAAUUUGAUCACACGUAUCGUCUAGCACUGCACGGUGUUUGCUUGAUCAGUUUCUAACUAGCAUGGUACAUGUAGGACAGUGCGUCAUUACACUUCCACCUGUGGAUUAAUUUUUCUACCCAGCGUGGUGCAUAUGUUGAUAAACUGAUUUUUUUUACUAGUUGCACAGUGAUAUUUAUUUAUGUAGCAUGCGGCAGUUUAAUU
rnacentral:lncRNA from 7 species